UACGGAGGAUGCGAACGUUAUCCGGAUUUAUUGGGUUUAAAGGGUGCGCAGGCGGGAGAUUAAGUCGGCGGUGAAAUUUUGCAGCUCAACUGUAAAAGUGCCUUCGAAACUGGUUUCCUUGAGUGUGGAUGAAGUAGGCGGAAUUUGUGGUGUAGCGGUGAAAUGCAUAGAUAUCACGAGGAACUCCGAUUGCGCAGGCAGCUUACUAAACCAUAACUGACGCUCAGGCACGAAGGCGUGGGGAUCAAACAGGAUUAGAUACCCGGGUAGU
rnacentral:rRNA from 1 species